UACGUAGGUGGCGAGCGUUGUCCGGAAUUACUGGGUGUAAAGGGCGUGUAGGCGGGGGAAUAAGUCAGAUGUGAAAAACCUAGGCUCAACUUAGGCACUGCAUCUGAAACUAUUCUUCUUGAGUGCUGGAGAGGAAAGCGGAAUUCCUAGUGUAGCGGUGAAAUGCGUAGAUAUUAGGAGGAACACCAGUGGCGAAGGCGGCUUUCUGGACAGUAACUGACGCUGAGGCGCGAAAGCGUGGGGAG
rnacentral:rRNA from 1 species